AUCCAUCUGACGAGUCCAAAAUAGGACAAAACGCGCGUUAAACUGGAU
rfam:Schistosoma rodhaini strain Burundi genome assembly, scaffold: SROB_scaffold0002585